AAUCCCCGAAGAAAUAGGGAAUCUUUCACAGCUAGAGGUGUUGAGCCUCACAGACUCCGCUCUGACCGGAAAUAUUCCAUCUUCAGUGUUCAACAUAUCUUCAUUGAAAUGCAUGGACCUCUCUAACAAUAGUUUGUCUGGAAAUAUCCCAACUUUUCACCAUCUUCCAAAGUUAGAGGAAUUAUAUCUGUUUCAUAACAAUUUACAAGGUUGGCUGCCAAGUGAUGUGUGCAGCAGCAAUAUGUCAAGCAUCAAAACACUUGAACUCUAUGAGAAUCAACUUGAAGGGAAAAUUCCACGAAAUAUAUGGAAAUGCACACAUCUUGAGUACUUGAUAUUAUACGACAAUAAUUUCAGUGGUAACAUCCCGUUAGAAAUUGGAAACAUGAGCAUGCUUAGGGGGUUGGUUUUGGGUAUGAACGACUUUCAAGGUAUACACUUCUAUUUUCAUCA